CUGCAGCUCUGCAGGCUGAACUGGAGAGCGGGCGGGGGCAGCUGCAGCUGCCUUGGAAACCGCGGCGACGACUGCGUUAUCCCUGGCUGGGCAGCCCAGCGCCAUUGGGUAGCCUAGACAGCUCAGUGGCUGAGGCGCCAUCCUUUCUCUGCAGGGCCUAAGAAACGACACAGCUAUUCCUGGCGCAGGAUCAUCCAUCCGCCGUUCUUCUUCGGAGUCCAGCCCAUCAAAGCCGAUUGCAAACUUGAAUUCUGUGUGGCUGAUUGCGGAACUGUCUAACCUAGAGGUUCAGAGGACCCGGAUCUGAGAGGCCUGUGGACAGAGAUCAACCCUACCCAGGACCAGAACUCCCACGAAAAGCACCUGUUGCAGAGGCUGAAUUAAAUAAAGGUGAAGGCCAGCUUUCGAGCUCCGUUCCUACCCAAACCCGAGGGAGAUACUGCCCAGGAACGUUGCUGCCCAUUGCGCUGGUUCACAGAGAGCCCAAGCAUCUUGUAUUCCGAUAUCCAAUUGUUGUCAGACAUGGCUAGCAUCCUUGCUCGGAUGGGCAACAGCCGAAGGCAGAAUACAGCUUUUCUGCCUUUGGCCCAUUCCAUGCUGAGGGCCCUGGGGAGGAGUCUCGGUCC